rnacentral:tRNA from 1 species
AAUAGAGUGACUGAAGAUUAGGUGAUAAAUUGUAAAUUUAUUUAUGGCUUUAUUAGCCCUCUAUUA